rfam:Clostridium disporicum strain 2789STDY5834856 genome assembly, contig: SCcontig000008
AAUAAAGGUAGAGGCGCGAUACUUAAGAGUACUAUUGAUGAGGUAAGCACUGUGAGUUAAUAGGAAAGGAAUUAUCGCCGAAGCAUACAACUAAUGCUUUAAGGUUGUAUAGCUGGGGAUGUAUAUAAUAUAUAUAUCACUGUCACAAACUUGUUUUUGUGGUGAGCUAUCAUUUGA